AGAAUUUUAACUGUUAAGGCAGUUUUGGACAAGAGACGGCAUGAAGGAAGAAGGGGUUUUCUGAAGCUGUUGAUUGGGAAUGUUGGGAUUGUUGGAUCCACUUUGCUAGGAGGUGGGAAAGCAAUUGCUGAUGACCAAGGGGUUUCUUCCUCCAGGAUGUCAUAUUCUAGGUUUUUGGAGUAUUUGGAUAAGGAUAGGGUGGAAAAGGUAGACUUGUUUGAGAAUGGAACCAUUGCUAUCGUAGAGGCUGUUUCACCUGAGUUGGGUAACCGGGUGCAGCGAGUUCGUGUUCAACUUCCAGGGCUCAGCCAAGAGCUUCUUCAGAAGUUUAGAGAGAAGAACAUUGACUUUGCUGCACAUAAUGCUCAGGAAGAAUCAGGUUCCUUGCUAUUCAACUUGAUUGGGAAUCUGGCAUUUCCUUUAAUCUUAAUUGGAGGCCUGUUCCUUCUUUCUCGACGUUCAUCAGGAGGAAUGGGUGGGCCUGGUGGGCCUGGUUUCCCCUUAGCUUUCGGUCAAUCUAAGGCAAAGUUCCAAAUGGAACCAAGCACUGGUGUGACAUUUGAUGAUGUUGCUGGAGUGGAUGAAGCGAAGCAGGAUUUCAUGGAGGUAGUGGAGUUUCUUAAGAAGCCUGAGAGAUUCACUGCAGUAGGGGCUCGCAUUCCAAAAGGCGUUCUUCUUGUUGGGCCUCCAGGUACUGGGAAAACUCUUCUGGCCAAGGCAAUUGCUGGUGAAGCGGGUGUUCCAUUUUUCUCCAUUUCAGGUUCGGAGUUUGUUGAGAUGUUUGUCGGUGUUGGAGCCUCUAGAGUCCGGGAUCUCUUCAAGAAGGCCAAAGAGAAUGCUCCUUGCAUUGUAUUUGUGGAUGAAAUUGAUGCUGUGGGAAGGCAAAGAGGAACAGGAAUCGGUGGAGGAAACGAUGAAAGAGAGCAGACACUAAACCAGCUUCUGACAGAAAUGGAUGGUUUUGAGGGUAAUACUGGCGUCAUUGUUAUUGCGGCAACUAACAGGGCGGACAUUCUCGACUCUGCCUUGUUGAGGCCAGGACGGUUUGACAGACAGGUAAGAAUAUGCUACCAUGUUCUUAUUGGUUAUUUAUUGUUCUUUGGGGCAGUCCUCAUUAUAAAAAUGCCAAUUUGCAGGUGACUGUUGAUGUCCCAGAUAUUCGAGGAAGAACAGAGAUAUUAAAAGUUCAUGCCGGCAAUAAGAAAUUUGAUGCUGAUGUGUCUCUUGAUGUGAUAUCCAUGAGAACACCUGGUUUCAGUGGGGCUGAUCUUGCAAAUCUCUUGAAUGAGGCAGCUAUUCUAGCUGGUCGGCGUGGAAAGACAGCAAUUUCAUCUAAAGAGAUUGAUGAUUCAAUUGAUAGGAUUGUCGCUGGAAUGGAAGGAACUGUUAUGACGGAUGGAAAGAGUAAAAGUCUCGUUGCAUAUCAUGAAGUUGGGCAUGCUGUUUGCGGGUAAGGGAGAUAUUUCCGAGUUAGAUUUAGUUUUUUAUCUUUAUAAAUUAUAAAUUAUUGGAUGGAGUAAAUCAAAUUAGAAUUUGGAACCGAGCAGUAAUGCCAGGAACUCCAUUUGAUGCUAAACUAAAGUUGAGAAGUAGUAAUAGAGCUGGCAAAUCAAUUCCGUUAUAAAAACUUGAUCGUAGAGAACUGAAAGCAGCAAUAUAAACGACUCUUGAAAUCUCUGAACUCACUAGCAGUAGAAAUUUGAAACUCAAAAGUAAUUUCAUCAAGAAUAUGAAAGGAUAGAGACCAUAAAACCCUAAUUUCCAAGGAUAGCUCAAGAAUCAUGUUCAAAAAAGGGAAAGAGAACCUGACUUGUUUUCAAACUUUUGACUGGCAUCUACACUGAAAGUGGAAAAAUAACGGUCAUGUUCUUAGUAACUUAAGAUGCUUGGUCUCUACUAUGCUACAUUCUAAUCUAUCUCAGUUGACAUAGAUGAACUGCAUCAUCAAGAAAAGUCUCCUCCAGUAUAAAGCCACAACUUCUCUUCUACAUCUAACCUGUUUCCCAAAAUUCCCUGUAAAACAUCUGAAAAUCUGAAAACUAACUAGAAGCCGAUCCUUUUUCCUUGUUAUUACUCCUGCACCACUUCCCUCAUUUGAUCACCCCUUCUUCUCCACAUCCAAAAUCAUCUCUCUACCUAGAGUAUCAUCGUUUGCAUCAGUUGAGAUAUCUACUUCUUUGGAAAAUAAACUUCCAUAACACUCUUUAUUGUUUUAUUCAGAACUUUGACUCCAGGGCAUGAUGCGGUUCAGAAAGUCACCCUAAUUCCACGUGGCCAGGCACGGGGCCUCACCUGGUUUAUUCCUACAGAUGACCCCACAUUGAUCUCUAAGCAACAACUUUUUGCAAGAAUAGUUGGAGGAUUAGGUGGCAGAGCUGCUGAAGAAGUGAUAUUUGGUGAGCCUGAGGUGACCACAGGGGCAGCCGGUGAUUUGCAGCAGAUCACGGGUCUGGCUAAGCAGGUAACCAAAAAUUUCAAUUUUAUACGCGUUGACCAGUGUUCACUUUGUUCUACAAAGAUCAGUUUUACUAUGUCAAUUUAUGUAAUGUCCUUUUGGAGUAGGAAAUGGGAUCUGUGCAUUUAAUAUUCCAAUUUCCGUAAGAUGGAAGGAUUCUCUUUUAGUUAGUUGAUAAGUCAACAUAAUCUGGAUCAGCUCUUGAGUUAAAGACAGUAUCUGGAGUCUAGAAUUUCAUCCUAAUUUGAAGUCACAUUUGCCAUGUCUUUUCCUUUCUUCUUUUGGUGAUUUGUGUGGCAUAUCUGUCUUGCUUUUUGUAUGUAUUUCUGCAUGCCCUUUUGCAUAUUUCAUCAAGAAGAAUUUAAUUGAAAUGAGGAGUGUUUUUUGAUCCUGUGGUUACAGAUGGUAACCACGUUUGGAAUGUCAGAAAUUGGACCAUGGUCACUAAUGGAUGCAUCAGCUCAAAGCGCUGAUGUCUUCAUGAGAAUGAUGGCAAGGAAUUCGAUGUCAGAAAAGCUCGCAGAAGACAUUGAUGCUGCUGUGAAGAGGAUAUCAGACGGUGCAUAUGAAAUUGCUUUGAGUCACAUAAGGAGCAACCGUGAAGCCAUUGAUAAGAUUGUGGAAGUCCUCCUUGAGAAGGAAACUAUGACCGGUGAUGAGUUCCGAGCAAUCCUCUCUGAGUUUGUUGAGAUUCCCACCGAAAAUCGGGUCCCCCCUGCAGUUCCCUCCCCUGUGUCAGUGUAAUUAUUGCAUACUAUUACUCUCCAUAUGUUUACUGCAACUUUGACAAUACAUCCAAAGGCUGGUUAAAUGUAUAAUUUGUAUAAUUGAU
rnacentral:lncRNA from 1 species